rnacentral:lncRNA from 1 species
GAAAGCACCACUCGGGUCACAAGGGGAAGAGGCAUCAGUUCGCCAAUGAGCUCGACAACCUGGCCGAUGCUGAGCUGCCCGUGGACGUGCCCCAGAUGAGUCCAGUGGCCAAGGCUGACCAGACCGAUUCUAAGCUCAACUCCGCCGGCGCAAAUCACGCGUACAAGCACGGAAAGAAGGACCCCGAGAUGGCCUGGCAUGUCAAGAGCCGCACGAGAGGAUAGCAACCCUGCGGCGACGCGUCAGAUGACGAGGCAUGACUCGGAAAACCAUUGGAGGUAUCGAGAAAUGAAAUCAAGCUGCACCGGCCAAAGAAAGACACUGGGCAUUACCCUCAAUAGGACAAAUACACGGCAUUC